AAAUAAACGUCCCAGUUCGGAUUGUAGUCUGCAACCCGACUACAUGAAGCUGGAAUCGCUAGUAAUCGCGAAUCAGAAUGUCGCGGUGAAUACGUUCCCGGGUCUUGUACACACCGCCCGUCACACCAUGGGAGUCGGAAAUGCCCGAAGUCAGUGACCCAACCGUAAGGAGGGAGCUGCCGAAGGUGGAGCCGGUAACUGGGGUGAAGUCGUAACAAGGUAGC
rnacentral:rRNA from 1 species